rnacentral:lncRNA from 1 species
CUUUACAAUGCAAGCACAGCUAGUAAUCCCCUUUCAGAUUUAUGUUCACAAAGCGUCUAUGGUAAUGUUAAGAAAAGCUCUUUUGACUAAAACUACACAAUGCUCUGAAGCUAGAACCUGCUUUGGUUGCAGGUCUGCACAGCGAAGUCUGUACGGUGCUUUCCCAAGCCUCUCAUCUGAACAGGAGCAGAAGGAAAGCCAAAAUGACUUCAGUGACAGCUCAGAUAUCCCACAGAAUGACUAGUAGGAGCAGAACAGCAGGAGCUAGAAUACAGUGAGGACUGUCCCCUCCAGGGAAAACCAUCUCCAGUCAUCAAUAUCAGACGGCCAGCACACCCAUCAUCAAGGCAAACUUCUGUUGGUGAAGACCAGAGAUUUUGGUCUGUAAGUGGGAUUUUUAAAAACUUCUUUUUUUUUUCUUUUUUUUUUUUUUUCCAGGAAUGUUGACUUAAAUGGGCAGAAGGUGGAGAGGGUUGCAAUGCAGAGUGAGACCAAGUUUUGAAAUGCGUUUGUCAUGGAAAUACAAAUCUUGUUUUUCAGCUGGCCUGGUUUAUGGAAUAAAUUACUCCAAUUCUAUGGAACCCCA